rnacentral:rRNA from 5 species
CAGCCGCAACAGCCCGCUGGCUCGCACGGGGUGCUCUUCAUCGAGUGUCCCGCGUGGCCGGCAGAGUUUACUUUGAAAAAAUUAGAGUGCUCAAAGCAGGCUACACUGACAGCCUGAAUGCCUAUGCAUGGAAUAAUGGAAUAGGACCUCGGUUCUAUUUUGUCGGUUUUCUGAACCCGAGGUAAUGACUAAUAGGAACAGGCGGGGGCAUUCGUAUUGCGACGCUAGAGGUGAAAUUCUUGGACCGUCGCAAGACGAACUACUGCGAAAGCAUUUGCCAAGGAUGUUUUCAUUAAUCAAGAACGAAAGUUAGAGGUUCGAAGGCGAUCAGAUACCGCCCUAGUUCUAACCAUAAACGAUGCUGACCAGCGAUCCGCCGGCGUUAUUCCCAUGACCCGGCGGGCAGCUUCCGGGAAACCAAAGUCUUUGGGUUCCGGGGGAAGUAUGGUUGCAAAGCUGAAACUUAAAGGAAUUGACGGAAGGGCACCACCAGGAGUGGAGCCUGCGGCUUAAUUUGACUCAACACGGGGAACCUCACCAGGCCCAGACACCGGAAGGAUUGACAGAUUGAGAGCUCUUUCUCGAUUCGGUGGGUGGUGGUGCAUGGCCGUUCUUAGUUGGUGGAGCGAUUUGUCUGGUUAAUUCCGAUAAC